UACGUAGGGUGCGAGCGUUGUCCGGAAUUAUUGGGCGUAAAGAGCUUGUAGGUGGCUCGUUGCGUCGGGAGUGAAAACCUGCGGCUUAACCGCAGGCCUGCUUCCGAUACGGGCGAGCUAGAGUUCGGCAGGGGAGACUGGAAUUCCUGGUGUAGCGGUGGAAUGCGCAGAUAUCAGGAGGAACACCGGUGGCGAAGGCGGGUCUCUGGGCCGAUACUGACACUGAGAAGCGAAAGCGCGGGGAGCGAACAGG
rnacentral:rRNA from 1 species